rnacentral:rRNA from 2 species
GAGUGAGGGCGACGGGUGAGUAACACGUGGGAACCUGCCCAGAAGGGGGAUAACCCGGAAACAGAGCUAAUACCGAUAAUCUUGCCUCAUGGUCGAGUUGAAAGAUGGCUUCGGCUAUCACUUCGAUGGUCCCGCGGGAUUAGCUAGUGGUGGGUAACGGCUCACCAGGCAAGAUCGUAGCCGACCUGAGAGGGUAUCGGCCACAUUGGGACUGAGACACGGCCCAACUCCUACGGGAGGCAGCAGUAGGGAAUCUUCCCAAUGGACGAAAGUCUGAGGAGCAACGCCGCGUGAGUGAGAAGGUUUCGGUCGUAAAACUCUGUUGUUAGAAGAACAUGAGAGUAACUGUCGUUGACGGUAUUAACCAGAAAGCCACGGCUAACUACGUGCCAGCAGCCGCGGUAAUACGUAGGUGGCAAGCGUUUCCGGAUUAUUGGGCGUAAAGCGAGCGCAGGCGGUUUUUUAAGUCUGAUGUGAAAGCCUUCGGCUCAACCGAAGAAGUGCAUCGGAAACUGGGAAACUUGAGUGCAGAAGAGACAGGGAAUCCAGUGUAGCGGUGAAAGCGUAGAAUUGGAGAACACCAGUGGCGAAGGCGGCUUUGGUCUGUAACUGACGCUGAGGCUCGAA